AUUAGAAAUAUAAAUAUAUAUUAAUUUUUUUUAUUAUAUUACCUUUUGCAUAAUGGCUUUACCAUAAUAAAAUUUUUGUUACUAUUCCGAAAUAUGAAGAUCUAUUUAUUUUAAUUAUAUAUGUAGCAUAAUAUAGCAUUAAUCUAUAAAUAGGAGCGAAAAACUUACAAUUCAUGUGAUAUCUGAAUAUUAAUAAAAUAUAUAUAGUAUAGGAUUAUUUUCUCAUUCAUAUUAUGUUAAGAUAAUAUGAGGACAUAAAAUAAAUUUUAUAACUCUAUAUAAAUAAUUUAUAUAGAAAAUUUUAUAAACAAAUAAAACUUGAGAUUUCUUAUGUCAUUUAAUUAAUUACCUAUAAUUCUAAUGUGUAGAAUAGGUUAUUUAUGUAUAGAUUAGUAGUAGAUAUUUAGUAUAAGUAAGGAAUUCGGCAAAUUUAUCACUCAACUGUUUAACAAAAACAUAGCCUAAUGAAUUUUCCUAUUAGGUAAAGUCUGCCCGGUGAUAAUACUUUUUAACGGCCGCAGUACUUUGACUGUGCUAAGGUAGCAAAAUAAAUAGGCUUUUAAUUGAGGUCGAGUAUGAAUGGCCUAAUGGGUGAUAACUGUCUUAUAUAUACUUUAAUUAACUUACUUAAUAGGUGAAAAUUCCUAUAUUUUAAAUAUUAGACGAGAAGACCCUUAGAGUUUUGAGGAAUUACAUUUUUAUAAUUUAUUCUUUUUGUUGGGGCGACAGAUUAUCAGUUAAACAUAAUAAAGCAAAAAGUAUACUUACGAGACUAAAUAUUAUAAAUGAAUAUAACUACCUAAGGGAUAACAGCAUAAUUUUAUUUAAGAUUGUGACCUCGAUGUUGGACUAGGGACUAAUUAUAUAAGUCAUAUAACUAGAAUAUUCUGUUCGAAUAGCUUUUUCCUACAUGAUCUGAGUUCAGACCGGUGUAAGCCAGGUCAGUUUCUAUCUUUUAAUUUUUUAAGUUUAGUACGAAAGGACCAACUUAA
rnacentral:rRNA from 1 species